UACGUAGGGUGCGAGCGUUAAUCGGAAUUACUGGGCGUAAAGCGUGCGCAGGCGGCUUUGCAAGACAGAUGUGAAAUCCCCGGGCUCAACCUGGGAACUGCAUUUGUGACUGCAAGGCUAGAGUACGGCAGAGGGGGAUGGAAUUCCGCGUGUAGCAGUGAAAUGCGUAGAUAUGCAGAGGAACACCAAUGGCGAAGGCAAUCCCCUGGGCCUGUACUGACGCUCAUGCACGAAAGCGUGGGGAGCAAACAGG
rnacentral:rRNA from 1 species